rnacentral:rRNA from 1 species
CAAGUCGAACGGUAACAGGUCUUCGGAUGCUGACGAGUGGCGAACGGGUGAGUAAUACAUCGNAACGUGCCCGAUCGUGGGGGAUAACGAGGCGAAAGCUUUGCUAAUACCGCAUACGAUCUACGGAUGAAAGCGGGGGAUCUUCGGACCUCGCGCGGACGGAGCGGCCGAUGGCAGAUUAGGUAGUUGGUGGGAUAAAAGCUUACCAAGCCGACGAUCUGUAGCUGGUCUGAGAGGAUGAUCAGCCACACUGGGACUGAGACACGGCCCAGACUCCUACGGGAGGCAGCAGUGGGGAAUUUUGGACAAUGGGCGAAAGCCUGAUCCAGCCAUGCCGCGUGCAGGAUGAAGGCCUUCGGGUUGUAAACUGCUUUUGUACGGAACGAAAAGCCUCUUUCUAACAAAGAGGGGUCAUGACGGUACCGUAAGAAUAAGCACCGGCUAACUACGUGCCAGCAGCCGCGGUAAUACGUAGGGUGCAA